rnacentral:pre_miRNA from 1 species
UUAAUACUCCCUCCAUCCGGAAAUACUUGUCAUCAAAAUGAAUAAAAGGGGAUGUAUCUAGACAUAUUUUAGUUCUAGAUACAUCCUUUUUUAUUCAUUUUGAUGACAAGUAUUUUUGGACGGAGGGAGUUGAUG